rnacentral:lncRNA from 1 species
UAAUUUUUGUUGUGCUUCUUUAAUGUUUUUAUAUGGCCAAUUUGCCUAAAUUAGUAAAAGUCGUGAUUCAGGGGUAAUAUAUCCUUAACACUGAAGAUAUCAAUCAAGUCUUGUCUUGCCUGCCUUUCAAAUGCACACCUCUGGUUUCAGUGUAAAUGGUGUAUUUAAAACAUGAAACUAAAUUAUAAUUGUUCUACUGUUCUACUUUUUUGCAUAGAAACUGUUAUU